rnacentral:lncRNA from 10 species
UCACUUCGAGGCGUUCUUCCACUACCGGUCCAAUGUUCCUAGAAGGCAAUGCAAUUUGUGGACAAGCCCAUGAAACCCAAAGGUGAAAAAGGGAAACAGGUUUACACAGACAGCCCUUCCUGCCACGUCUCCAGACAUUCCUGCUGGAAUCUAAUCACCUUUGUCUUUAACCAGGCUUCCUGCCCACAUCUUACCAGGUGAUCACAGGUGUCAGUUGGUGUCUCGCCACUCCCUGAGGGUGGAUAUACUUGUCUGUUCUAGCAGCAAAGUUUGCUUUACUUUCCUGAGGAUACGCACGUGCACCCUGGAUCUCAUCUCCACAUGCAGGGUGGUGGGUCCCUUCCAUUUCUAUUUCCUGGCUCAUCACCUGUCUUCAUGCUUGGGACUACCUUUCUGUUGAAGGCCCACCUAUGGCUUCCCAUGGACCAAUCAGCACGUACUUCCUCACUUCUGAAUCCAUAAAAAUCCCUGACUCAGCUAGACUCCAUGCUCUUUGGGACGACCUGACUGCAGAUAGGAGCCACCCACUUCAGGAUUCCUCUACUUUGUUUGAGAUGACCUGCCUGUGGAUAGGAGCUACCCAUUUCUGGUCUCCUCUACACUCUUCAGGACAACCUGUCCACACAUAGCAGCUACCCACAUCGGGACUUCUCUAUAUUCUUCAGGAAAACCUGCACAUGGAUUGGAGCUACCCACAUUGGGAGUCCUCUACAUUCUUCAGGAUGACCUGCCUGUGGAGAGGAGUUACCCAUUUCAAGUCUCUACACUCUUAGGGAUGACUGCCCACAGAUGGGAGCUAUCCACUUCAAGUCUCCUCUAUACUCUUCAGGACAACCUGCCUGUGGAUAGGAGCUACCCACUUCAGGAUGCCUCUAAACUCUCUGGAUGAUCUGCCUGUAGAUAGCAGCUACCCACUUCAAGACUUUUCUAAACUCUUCAGGACAACCCACCCAUAGAUUGGAGCUACCCAAAUUUGGACUCCACUACACUCUUUGGGAUGACCUGCCUGUGGAUAGGAGUUAGCCACUUUGAGUCUCUAUACUCUUAGGGGUGACCUGUCUACAGAUAGGAGCUACACACUUCAGGUCCCCUCUCUGCUGAGACCUGUUCUGUCACUCAGUAAAGCUCCUCCUCACAUUGCUCAACCUCCAGUUGUCCAUGUAGCUUCAUUCUUCCUGGACAUGGGACAAGAACUUGGGACCUACUGAACAACAGGAGCGAAAAGAGCUGUUACCCAUUCCUGGAUGGCUGGCUGAGCUGUGGGCAAUGACAAGCUCCUGGACUGUGGGAGUGAAGAGUGGCACCCCUUCUGGGGGCCCAGACCUCAGGAUUCCCUGAGCCAGAGCUGCUGUAACACUAUAGUCCUCACACCCUCCAACAGUGCCGGGUGGCUGCCCCACACGACAGGAAGCAGUAGCAGGGCCAGGUCAGCCCAGCGGCUGCAGGCUGGGGAGGCAUAGCAGGACUGAAGGAGCUGUAACACAAACAGACUGAAACACACAAACACUGGAAACACCUCCCUGCUCACCACGCUUCAGGUGGCAAAAAGGAGAGAAGAGCUGAAGCCCUUCUGGGAUCCCAGACCUUGGGGCUCCACAAGCCUGAGCUGUGACAUGCUGUAACACCCUCUCUGGGGUUCUGUGGUUUUUGGCAUCUUCAAGCUUUUGGGCACUACCAUGUUCCCUGGCGCCUUCAGUAGAAACUGUUUGCGAUACGCCUGGUCCAGUUGCAGCGUCACACAGAGCUGGCAUCUGUGCUGGUACCAGGAGCUGCCCACCCACUGGCACUGCGCAGUGGCUGGACCUGUGCUUGCUCGGUCUUACACCCCCUUGCUGCUCCAUGCCUGGCUCACCCUUGGCAGGUGUGGGAUCUGGGCUGGUAGCGAGAGCCAAGCACAGCCUGCCAGGCCGAGUGGGUGGAAUGAGCCCAGUGGGAGCAAACAAAACCAAAGCAGAGGGACCGCCAGCCAUCAUGGAGGUUUCCUGCUGGAGAAGUGACAUCCUAAGGACCCUGUGACAGCCAUAUCCUCGCAGCCUCACGUCCUCACUGCAUCUCAGGGGGAAGAUACCCACCUGGGCGUCAGUAACAGCUGCUUUCCACCUUGGGAGAGUUUGCAAGAGAAAGAGAAAGAGAAAGAACAAGAAAAAGAUAAUGAAAGCCAGAAAAAAUGAAAAAGACAGGUCUCACUGGCUAAAAUCAAGAUGUUGGCAGGACCACGUUCCUUUCUGGAGGUCUAAAAGAGACUCUGUUGCCCUGACUUUUCACCUUCUAGGACCCUUCCACAUUUCUUGCCUCAUGACCACUUCCACGCAGCCGUGUCUCUGGUUCUCUGGCCAUCCUCCCACAACCUGGAGAGUUUCCACUUCGAAGGCAGUAUUUUCAGCGGUCUCCGUUGAGAGUUGACAUCUGCUUUUCCACCCCUCGAAUCUAGGUUUGGCCUUGCAACAGAUGGACCAACAGAACACUAGGAAACACGAUUCAAGUAGCAUCUUGAAAUGUGAUCCUGCAUUGGGGGUCCCCUCUCUUCACUGCACCCGGAACUGCCUCCAAGAAACAGUGGUCUGUGUGGGCACAAAUGAGCUACAGCACGUAUAAGUCAAUGGGAAGAAAGGAAAUGCUCACUAUGCUAGAAGUGACAGUAGAAACUUCCAUUGUGUGUGACUGGAGAGGCACAAAUGAAGGGCAUCUCCCAAAGAGGCUUCAUCUUUUGGGAGUGUGAGAGGAGUGACAGUUUAAGGAGGCUUCACAGGCGUCCAUACAACCACAGGAUGAACAGCCUUUUAGAAGUUACUGUUGCCCUUCCAGGAAGACAAGUUUCAUUGCCUGGUACAUAAAUUGAGUUAAACUUGAAGGAUAUUUUUAUGUAAAAGGAAGGGCAAAUAUAUACCCCUUUUGUUUCGCCCCAAACCAUCAGGAUAACUGAAAGCCACUCCAACAUGUUGAUUGGGGUAGCCGAGGAAUGAUGCAGACCAGAGCAUCAGAGUAGGUGACAGGCAUUUGACAGUGGACACCCAAAAAAGGUAAGAGUGGACUACUUACAAUAGCAAAAACUUAGAACCAAUCCAAAUGUCCAACAAUAGUAGACUGGAUUAAGAAAAUGUGGCACAUAUACACCAUGGAA